AUUGAACGCUGGCGGCAGGCUUAACACAUGCAAGUCGAGCGGGGUGAUGGUGCUUGCACUAUCACUUAGCGGCGGACGGGUGAGUAAUGCUUAGGAAUCUGCCUAUUAGUGGGGGACAACAUCUCGAAAGGGAUGCUAAUACCGCAUACGUCCUACGGGAGAAAGCAGGGGAUCACUUGUGACCUUGCGCUAAUAGAUGAGCCUAAGUCGGAUUAGCUAGUUGGUGGGGUAAAGGCCUACCAAGGCGACGAUCUGUAGCGGGUCUGAGAGGAUGAACCGCCAAACGGGGACUGAGACACGGGCCAGACUCCUACGGGAGGCGGCAGUGGGGAAUAUUGGACAAUGGGGGGAACCCUGAUCCAGCCAUGCCGCGUGUGUGAAGAAGGCCUUAUGGUUGUAAAGCACUCUAAGCGAGGAGGAGGCUCUUUUGGUUAAUACCCAAGAUGAGUGGACGUUACUCGCAGAAUAAGCACCGGCUAACUCUGUGCCAGCAGCCGCCGUAA
rnacentral:rRNA from 1 species